ACAGAGGCUAGAAGUCCUAACAAGAGGAGUACAAAAUGCAAUGGAAAUAGAAAUGUACAGUUCUCCUAUACAGAACAAAAGGAUUCAGGCUGAAAAUGGACAAAAAUUGAAUCCCAUUUGAAAGUGGAGCUUGCAAUAUGAGUUUACUUGUCACAUAUUUCAGACGAUGUUCUGUUUCCCCAACCCUCCUUCUGCAGCCCUCCAUAAGGGGAAUGGAUGCCAGUAUCUGCUCAGUGAUUGGUUGCAGUUCUAAUUGUUGAGUUCUACAAGUUUCUUGUUCUCUUUAAUUGACUAUUUUUGGUAAAAACUCAUACUCCCUUGAGUGGAGAAUAGAACAGCCAAAUAGGGCCAUGUGGAAGACCUCUGGGAACCAGG